CUAAUCAUCACAGAAAUGCAAAUCAAAACCACCAUGAGAUACCAUCUCCCACCAGUCAAAAUGGCUAUGAUUAAAAAGCGAUAGGAAGAGUUUUGUGGAGCAACUUAUAGUGGGAUCCAGUGGGGCCCAAAAAUAUUGGAGACCCAAAGACAUCUUGGGCCGGACAAAGGGACAGGUUUCACAUCUGUGUUUAAACCUUUUGAGAGACUGUGCUUCAAUGCCAUUGAAAAAGUUCACUCUGUUGUCGUUGUGAUAUUCUCAGGUCUCAGAGAAGGCCUUGGAUAGGAGAAAAUAGAGUGUAACUAAUCCAAUUAGUGAGGUGAAGCUGCUGAGAACCACGCUAAUUAGUUAAUGCGUAAACAUAACCAUUUUAUUUAAAUUAGCAGCAAAUUUCAAGCAAUCCUCAGAAUAACUGAGAAUAUUAGCCCUGAUUAGUGUAACAGCCUGGAAAAUUUCUUCUGGUGGGAAACAUACAAUAGUGGGGUCUCCCCACCAGGUCUUUAUUCAGUCAAUCACUCAUUCAUUUGUUCAUCCAAUAAACAUGUGUUGAGUAUUAUUUUAUGCCAAGCAUUAUAAGACAAAAAGGCAGCUUUGCCCAAGUCCCUGCCCUGGAGGAGUUCCUGUCUGGAGAGGGAGGUAGGAACUUAGAUGAUCACAGUUUAUACAAUGAAAUCUUGCAACCUACUGCUCCACACUCCCUUCCCACUAGCCCACAAAAAGAGAGAGCAGGAAUAAAACCAGGUCUGGGGAUCUCUCCCGUUCUUUCUGCCUAAAUUUAUUAGACAGUAAAAGAUAUGGGGGUUUCGGGGGAGUGCUCUUUCUAUGGAAAGGUAAAUUCUUGGUUAUAGGAGAAGAAAGAUGAAAGCGACUUUAAUUCCUUCUGAUGUUUUUGAAAUACUAAAGCUGCCACGUUUAUGCUUCAGGAAGUGCUUUGACUCAAGGUUUAAAGAUUAGAGUUGAGAUGAAAGAAGUACUCUAUUUUAAGCUGGAGAUGAAUUCCAUGAAGCCAUCACCUCUCCCCUGCGUGGUAUUGGCCCCAGUGUCUGCAGGGGCAUUAAAGACCUCUCAUGGAUUGUGCUUGCACCCCCAGACCUUUCACGUCACAUCUCAGAGACAAUUGCAAAAGUUUUCCUUUGUGAGCCAAGAAUUUAAAUGUCUAGCCACUACUCUGUGGCCUUUGGCAAAUUUCUCCAGUUUUCUAUGAUUUUUGUCUGUAAAUAAAUAAGAAUACCAGGCACUGGGUGGCUGUGCAGUUUGGAAAAAGCCCUGAGUUUAUUUCUUGGCUUUACCAUUAUGAAGUUGUGCCCUCCGUGACUCUGUGGCGUGUGGUUCCAUUGCUCAGGCGCCUGCUGGUGAAUGGUAUUGGGAGCCCUGACAGGGUAGUGUUCGGGGGAGCCUCACACACUCCUGCAGCUUUGCCUGGUCACCUCCAGCUUUGCAUUAUUUAGGGGCUAAUCCAGAUAGGGUUAAUUGGGUCUCUGUACUUAUUGUCCUCUGAGCUGUCACCUCGCCUGGUUCCAGGGACCACCGUUCACAUCAGUACAGGGUGAUGUGGGGACUGGCCCUGUGAGGCUCUCAGCUUCUGCUUGCCGCACGUUCCGUUUCUCGGUGCAGGGUGGUUGUUUGAGGGGGUGUUCUUUGCUCCAGAGGACCCAGGGCAUUGGUGGAUGUGCAAUGUGGUAGAAAGAGUGCAGACAAGAGAUCAGAUAAGGGUUGGGGUCCAGGCCCCGUUCUGCCCGUACCACAUGUGUGACAGGGGCAAGUGAUCUGAUCUUUCUAACCUCAGUUAGGUUCAUAAUCUGUAAAACUGGGAUGUAACUUGCACAUCACUGAAGUAUUGUGAGGGAUGUGAUGGCCUGUAUGCCAUGGUGCCUGGCCCAGUGCCCCGCAUGUGAUGGUGAUGGUAGGUGUUACUAUGCCUCACCCAAGAGCAAACACUCCACGGGUGAAGAAAGGGGACAUUGGAGGCUAAGAGUUGGGCUGAACACCUGCGGUUAUCCCCACUCCAGUGUCCCUGGGCUGGGGUGGCUCCCUUCAUUCCAGCAGCCCUUUGAGAAUCCAUGAAGACCCCAUGCCUAACGUAUCCUUGCCUGUGUUCCGGAGCUCAGGAACGUGCUCUUCCGACUGUCUGCUCAUGGGUAAGUGAUGACGGAGUGAGUUUCAAUAAUCCAGCCUGUAGUCUCACUCCUUCCUGAUGAUCCCACUGAAAGGACGUGAACGGACCUUGCUAGGUUAACCAGGCUGUGAAUCUCAGCUCUGCCACUGGUUGGCUUGUGACCUGGGACAGAAUAUGUAAUUUCUCUUUACCUCAAGUAUCUAUAACUUGAAGUUUAGUUCAUAGGAAAUACCAUAUAACUGUGGGUUAUAUUAUUUUUAUGUCUUAAUAUAUAAUAUUUAUAUAUGUGUUUAUGCAUUUACUUCUGUAUGUACACACACACACACACACACACACAUACACACACAUAAUUAGUAUGUGUCCGUCUCUGCUGGACACUUUCAGUAUGUCAGUUGAUGUAAUCUCAAAACCACCUGACAGCUUAUCCUCAUUUGGCUCAAACAUGUAAAGAUGUCCCUAGGUCCCACCACCAAUAGUUGAGUGUGUAAGCCAUAAGUCCUAGAACAUGAUUAUAGGUUUUACUGUGUCACAGCCAGAAGCAACUGCUCCCAUGGUGAAGGCUGGGAAGAGGAGGGCUAGCAUCCAGCAGCCCUGCUUUCUCCAGCAGCACUGCCUCCUUAGAUUCCACGGCCUCCACAGGGCAUGGCCCAAAGGACUUUCACAGCUGCCUACUGGAACCUGCCUGCAGUUAUCCCUGAUUCUCAGGCCACCCAGAGCUGGUGCCCAUUCUCUGGGUGAGGUGAGCACCCAGCCGGCUUCCCACCCUGUGUUUAGAAAGAACCUUAUUUCCAUUUCUCUUUUCGGAGUUGCAAAAGAGAGGCAGACCAGCCAUCUCCUGCCUGGACACAUCAGCUCAGUGUGGGGUGCAGGCAGACAGGGAGGGAGCCCACGGAUGUUAUAGGCACACAGAUGUUAGUGCCGCAGUGCUAACCUUCUCUGCACCAAGUGAUGGUGAACUCUGGGCUGCUCCUGCAGCUUCCAUGCUAAAAAAAGGAGCUGCUUGAUUUGUUAUUCAUUCCACACGAUAUGUUUUUCACUUCAUGUCCAAACUCCGCAAUUAGAGUUGUAAACCGUGAGUUUUGCAUGACUUUUAUUAAGCUCCUGCAGACUGGGAAGAAGCAGUCAUUAGCAGCUCCACAGUGGGCCCAUGUUCAGACUCACUAACGAGAGAUGGACUGAGUCUCUUGCCCUCCACCCACCAUUCUUUGGAGAGUCUUGCUUCCCAGGCCUCUCUGGCCUUGGGGACAGGUCACCAAGCCCAGUGACAGAGGAGCUGAUUUUAGAUCCCGCCUUGGCUCUGUGCUCUCUGACAAGUCACGUUACCUCUUUGAGCCUUCCUGAUCAGUAAAAUGGGGGCGGGUGCUGUUAAAUAAAGUAACAAACCUGCAUGUGCCUAGCACCAAAUCAGGCACAGAACUGGGCUCAGUGAUAUUGGUCUCUUGUUCAAACUGGAGAAAUCUCUCAACAAACAUUCAUGAUUAUUAAAGGUAGCUUGCAUUUGUUGCUUACUGUUUCUAGGUGCUUUGUGAAUGUAAGCUCGGUUAAUACUCUCAAAGGCCCUUUGAAGUAGGCACUGCUAUUAUCCAGUCUUUACAGGUGAGAAAACUGGGGCUUAAGGCAGGUAUGUAACUUGCUCAAGGUUACACAAUUACUGAGUGGUAGAACCUGGUUUGGAACCCAGGUUGCCUAACUUCAGACCCCAUGCUCAGAGCCAUGACUCAAUACUGUCUCCCUGGUUUAGUUAACACGUGGCUCCCGCUCUCAGGAAGUUCUCUAGACAGAGACAGGACAAUAAGCCAUCACAGGGUGGUGUGAUGCCAGCUGGGCACACAGGCAAUGUGCAGUGCACACUUGCUAAUGAGUGAAGGUUGCAGUGAGAAUAUGGGAUGGACUUCCUGGUUAGUCAACUACCCAGGCAUACUCUUCUCCUUAGGAUCUCAAGGAAAACUGAAUCUAAUUUGCAGUUUUCUCCCUGACAGUACUGACAGCAGGUUUCUAAGAUUUGGUUGGAGGAGAUUUGAAAACAUCACUCAAUCAGUGCUACCCUUCCCCAUCCACCCUGGGCUUGGUCACAGGCUGCAGGCUACAGGCUCAUAAGCUCCCUCCUGGCUUGUGAGGGCUGUCUACACACGCCUCCUGCCUUUAAGGUUCUCCACUUUCUCUGAGGAAUUGAGGUACCCAUCUCCCCACUGGGAGAUACCUAAUCUCAGCAUUCCAGGGCCUGAGCAUUAGAGCCAAAGCCCCCCACUUCCCUUCUUCCCUUUCUCAUCCCUCAAGCCUCAGCCCAAAGCCUACUUCUUUAGGGCAGUGUUUCCUGAUUAUCCCAUCUAAGGUGCCCUUACUUGUUAUUCUUAGAUCUCUGUACCUUGUCUGAUUUUUUUACAGCUCUUGGAUUUGGUGAUUAUUUGUGAAUUGUUACACCUGAUGGUCUUUCUCCACCACUAGAUGCAAGACAGCCCCUCCUCUUCCUCCUCCUCUGCCUGCUGAGCACGAAGAUGCCCUCCACCCACCAUUCUUUGGAGAGUGAAGAAAUUUAUGAUGGUUCAUUUCCGCUUAGGAAAUAGUAACUGUAUUUUCUCAUUUUGAAAUUUCUUAUUUCUAUUUUCUUUUCUUUAGCUUACUUUAUUGUAAGAAUUUUGUAUAUAAUACACAUAAAACACAAAAUAUGUGUUAACUGUUUAUGUUAUCAGUAAGGCUUCUGGUCAACAGUAGGCUGUUAGCAGUUGUUUCGGGGGAGUCAAAAGUUAUACGUGGAUUUCCAAUGGCAUGGGGAGUCAGCACCCCAACCCCUACAUUGUUCAGGAUCAGCAGAAAAUAGGAUGCUUGGCACCAAGGCUGGCACACAUGAAACCCUCAAUCAACCAGGUAAUCGCUGUUAUUCUAGUAUUAGUAUUAGUUAUUAUUAGUCAAGAUAAGAGCUGGCAGAAUCUGUAUCUGUUUAUCACAUUCAGUAUCUUUGUAUGGAGACCUGGGAUGGGAGCUUGAGAGAUGUGCCCUCCCCUACCGGGAUAGAAGCCAGCUCCUGGUUAUCUUUCUUGAUGAUGGACCAGUUGCUAUGGGCACAGGUUGGGAAAGAGCAGGGGACACCUCCUUCUGUUAGUGUCUCUCCUGCCACCAAGUCAUGCUAGCACAUGAUGCUGACCUGCCUUUCCAUUUGACUCAAGCCCCAGGCAGGAAACAUGUAAACUCCUCAGACUCCAAGGAUUGGCAGGGCUGCUUUCACUAACACUUCCCCUUUCAGCUUUCUAUAAUUCAUUCCCCCAUUCAAGAUGGUCUUGCAGAACCACGCCCAGGAGGGUCCAGGAUAUGAACAGCAAGCCAGUGACAGAGUAUAAGUUGCAAGAGUUCCAUCACCCUAAUGGCUUGGGUACCAUGCCCUCCCUGAAGGCACUUCCUCUUUCAUUUGAAGCAGGAAGUGGGGAGGCUUUCCUGUGAUGUCCCUUGCACCAAGUGUAGGCCUUCAAGAAGUUGGGUACUUGAGUUGCUGCUCUUUUGUCCCAUUUCUUAGUAGGGUGUCACCAACUUUUCGGGUGAGGCAGUUCUUUACUGCGUGGGACUGUCCUAUUCAAUGUAGGAUGCUUACCAUUCUUGGACCCUGACACCAGCAGUGUCCAUAUGAGACUAAAACAUCCCCAUACACCUCCAAAAGGCCCCUGGAGGAAGUGGUACCCACCCCUGGCUGAGAAUCUGAGAAAGGAGAGUAAAUAAAGAAGCUCUGGGAUUUGGGAAUGGCUGGCGGCAUUGAGUGUGGGUAUCUGAAUAAUGUUUAUAUCAGGGCAGCUUAAGGAUAUGCUUGUCUAUUUCAAGACAGUUCCUAAGGAGAUGUGUUCAGAAUAUAUCACAGGCAUAAAUGGAUUCUUAUAUUUGAUUUUCCCAAGUAACCCAAUUGUCACCACAUUGCCUUUGUCCCAGAUGCUUUUUCUGAAAUCGGUUUGUUGCUCUGCAUUAGCCCUGCCAGGGUAGAGCUUUGGUGGAGUCCUUGAGGUUAGCACUGUCUUAAUAUACUGGGAAUUUAAGCAGAGCUGGGUCCUCUAAAUCAAUCACCAGAACAGCUUUAGUUGUUUUUUUUUUCUUGCUCAAAAAUGCACUAUUAAAUGCAGACACACGUGUGGGAGUGGAGGUUGGCUUGAGUGAAGGACACAUUUUAAAAGAGAAAUUUUGUAACAUUUUUUUCCUGCAGGAAAAAGGACUUGCUGGUCUUGCUUCUUGUACAACUGGGCUACAGAAUAGAUUUGCAUCUCCUUCUAUCAGUGUCUCUUCUGCCACCAAGCAGCAUUUUUAGCAUCCUUGGAAUACGCUGGGUUGUUCAGAAGUCACCUAAUCAUAUUUUCCUGGGGCAUUCCAGGUGUUUAACAAAUAUGUGUUGAACAAAGGAAUAACUAGGUUAAUGGAAAAUUAAAGCUUUUUAAGUGGUGAUUACAAAA